UAAAAGUUUGGUGAUUAGCGGCAUUCUCUGAAGUGCCGCCAAAGUUUUGGUGAUUAACGGCAGUAUCAAGUGCCGGCAUAGCUAGGAAUUAGCGGCAGUAUCUAAAGUGCCGGCAAAGCUUAGAUGAUUAGCGGCACUUUGUUGGAUGCCGCCAAAGUUCUACGUUAAUUUAUUGCAGAGUUUCAGAAAAGCCUUAGAGUGCUUAACUGAGAAACACAGGGACCUUUCAGUAAAUAGCCGAAAGAGAAGAUCUGCCUUCGUUCCCCUUCCCAAAUGCGCCCCUGUGCUCCCACUCCUCCGUCGUCCGUCGUCCGCCCCCAAACCCCGUUCGCCACCACCGCUGGUCCUCCGCCGACCGCGGGAGGGAAGGGAGGCGGCGUGCCCGUCCACCACCACCGCGGGUCCUCCGCCGUCCGCGUCAGGCUCGCCGCGCCCCCGUCUUUUGGGCCACCACUCCGUCGUCUUCCUGACGUGGGUGGCCGGGGUAGUCAUAUGGAUAUGAUCUGCGCCACCUUCUCCACCGAUGUCGUCGCCGGUCAUUCUGGCCAUCUCGCCCACCGCCGAGCACUGACUGGCUGCGCCUUUCUCCCCCGUCUCGUACAUACGGCAGCGAAUCGUCGAUCCCAACACCCCGCGCUGCAUGUGCUAACCCUAGCCACCUCUGCCUUCGAUGCGACAGCGGCAUGCACGUGGGUGGCUGCUGCGGUGGUGCUGGUGCUCCUCGUGCGGUGGUGCCGCUCCAAUGCUGCCGUGGUGCGGCUCCGGUGGUGCUGGCGUGGCCUCCCGUACUUGGAGGAAGGGGCGGCUUCAGCAGCGGCGUCUACACUCUACACCGUCGUCGACUCGUCGCCCGCGUGGAGAUAGUGUCCAUCCCCGAGCUCCAGGCUACUUGUACACAACGUGUUUGUGGUAUUGCCUAAAUGCCCAACUCAAGCGCUGAAGUGGGGAAAAUUCUUUGGAUGCCCAAUUCGAGCUGAGAAAUGCUUCCACAUCUGCAUAUUUGGAUGAUUGAACUAUCUACGGUUUUGUGAAUAAAGCUUUUGAAACAAUGUUGUCAUGGCUGGGAUUAAAGUUCUAGCGAUAUAGAUAGAAAUGUUGCUCAAGAUGCUCAAAGGAAUUCAUAACAAUCAAGUUCACAAGGAUUCAACUCCAGCAGAUACUGUGUACAGUUGACAGCAACCCACGGUGGUGUUGCACAUAUAUUCUUGAGGCAUCCGAUCCCUUAUUUGUGGAAAUUGGGAAGUCUUUUAUUGAAGAACAAAUCAAAGGUAUGUACUUCUAAAAUGAUAUUGAGUGACCGAGGUUGAUUUCGAAGAUUAUGUCUCUAGGCCCGGAUAAAAUCAGCAUGUUAUGUGAUUGUCUGGAUAUGUUUGAUUCAAGAUUUUGUAAGUUAGAUUGUCUGGAUAUGUCAUUGUGUCUUGCAACGAUGAGAUCAUGUUGAGAUUUGCCUUUAUAGUGUACUGCUGGAUAUGUUGGUUGCAGACCAUGUUCAGAUUUGCCUUUAUAGUGUACUAUUGCAUAUGUUGGAUUUGCAGGCAACUGCUGCUAGAACAUGUUCAGAUUUGCCUUUAUUUGUGCUGCUGGAACAUGUUGCUUGCAGAACAUGUUGGUACUUGCCAUUGCAGUGUAUUAUUUGUUGCAGAACAUGUUGUAAUAUGCUGGAACAUAUUGCUUGAAUAAUUGUCAUUAGUUGGAAACUGUUUGCUGCAGAAA